UACGGAGGGUGCAAGCGUUAAUCGGAAUUACUGGGCGUAAAGCGCACGCAGGCGGUCUGUCAAGUCGGAUGUGAAAUCCCCGGGCUCAACCUGGGAACUGCAUCCGAAACUGGCAGGCUAGAGUCUUGUAGAGGGAGGUGGAAUUCCGGGUGUAGUGGUGAAAUGCGUAGAUAUCCGGAGGAACACCAGUGGCGAAGGCGGCCUCCUGGCCAAAGACUGACGCUCAGGUGCGAAAGCGUGGGGAGCAAACAGG
rnacentral:misc_RNA from 1 species